GGGAGCGUGGCUUAGUGGAAAGAGCAUGGGCUUGGAAGUCAGAGGAUGUGGGUUCUAAUCCCACCCCCGCUA
rnacentral:tRNA from 1 species